rnacentral:tRNA from 1 species
GCAGUGGUAGUUCAAUGGUAGAUUUCUGGCCUUCCAUGCAGGACACCCAGGUUCGAUUCCCAGCCAAUGUA